rnacentral:rRNA from 1 species
GAUUUUUUGGGCGGCAUCGCUCGAAACUCAAAGCCGGGGACCGUAAGGCCUGGCGCUUCAGGAUAAACCCGCGGCCUAUCAGCUAGUUGGCGGGGUAAUGGCCCACCAAGGCUAAGACGGGUAGCUGGUCUGAGAGGACGACCAGCCACACUGGAACUGAGACACGGUCCAGACACCUACGGGUGGCAGCAGUCGAGAAUUUUUCACAAUGGGCGAAAGCCUGAUGGAGCGACGCCGCGUGGGGGAUGAAUGGCUUCGGCCCGUAUACCCCUGUCAUUUGCGAGCAAGGUUGCCGACCUAACACGUUUGGAAUUUGAUA